rnacentral:tRNA from 1 species
GCUUUUAAAGGAAAAAAGAAUUCCCCUGGCCUUAGGCGCCAGCAUUUCUUGGGCAAGUCCAAGUAAAAGCU